GGAAAAUGAAGUAACUUUCUUCCCUUUUUUUUAUUAAUGGGGGAUCCAGGGUAGAACCUUUACAGGCUGCAGGUAUCAGAAGAAUCAGCAUUAGCAACUAGCAUCAAGAGCCAGAACUACCUGCAGAUUGAACCAUGGAGAUGUUUACUGCACUCUCCCAUCAAAAGUGCACUGUUGCAUUGGAAGAAGGAAUGCAUUUCACCAGGCAGAUGAAAAGCAAGCAGAAAACAGCACUGGAAUACUUGCUGUUGACCUGUUCUCCUGAAAGGAAAGCAGACAGAAAGCCAAUAAGGUUUGGAGAAAAAAAAGCUGGAAGAACAUUUUCCAAAAACUGUUGGCUUAAACCCAGAAGACCCCCAGCAGCUGAAGAUACUCUGCAACACUGCCUCCUUUUUCAGGGAUGCUCAGUCAUGUUCUUCCUCAGGUCAAUACUAAAGCAAUAAUUAGUAUUGUCAAACAUUUUAGACAAACAAAUUACUUUAUUUAUUUUCUUGUGAAGAGUGAACAUGAUUUUCUGAGCCUGAGAGAGUUUUAAGUCUGUCAGUGGCUGACCUGUUUCCCAAGGGAAAGUCUUUUGGGAAUUUUUCUCCCUCAAGGACUAUUUUAAAUAGGUUUUUGGUUCUCAAGACAAU
rnacentral:lncRNA from 1 species